GAAGAAAAAUAUUUCUAUGGAAAAAAGCUGAAAUACAUAAUAUAAAGGAAGACCUACAAAACUUUAUAACUACCUUCAAAAACAUCAAAGAUAGAAGCGUUGAGUCUUUAUGGCAGGCAUUUAAAACAGCUGUACAAACCACCAUAGAGAAAAGAGUACCAACAAAAAUGACCCUUGAAAGAAACACUCAUCCAUGGAUCAAUACAACCAUUAGACGCAAAAUAAACCAAAAGCAGAAAGCACACAAGAAGGCUAGAAAAACUAAAAAGAAAAGAGACAAAGAUAGAUAUAAAAGACUACAACAAGAAGUACAGUGGGAGGUCCGGCAAGCCAACAAGAAAUAUAUGGAAGAGGUCAGUUCAGACUAUAGAGAUAAUGCAAAGAAGUUCUGGUCUUAUAUCAAAAGCAAAGGUCAAGAAUGGACAGGAGUGGCACCGUUAAAAAACAAAAUGGGAUUUCUGCAAAGUGACAACAAGAGCAAAGCUGACAUUUUAAACGACCAAUUCCAGUCAGUAUUUACCAAAG
rnacentral:lncRNA from 1 species